rnacentral:rRNA from 1 species
GAGCCUCCCAAUCUCAUCUGAUUUUGGAAGCUAAG